AGUCCACCUUAAAAACCCCGACACAAACAGAAAGCUGAUCCUCAGCAGGAACUCGACCUCUGCAGGCUGUUGAGGAAUUAAUGAAGUACAGAGAGAGCAGCCUUUGUUAGUCUGCAAGUUUGUUUUAUU